GUGGCAUUAGCAAAGUGACUAUAAAUAUGCUUGCCACAGAAGUGCAUUAUGGGAAAGCAAUCUGGCCCUAGGAGUUAUCUGACCCAGGCUGGAUGAGAGCUGGCUGAUAGGCAGAGAGGAGCCACCAACCACCAGAGCCAGGACAGGGAGUGGUGCGGUGUGUUCAUGGAGCUCUGAGGAAUGGAGCCUCCAGAGGAGAUGUGAGGAGAGACGCAGCAGAAGAGGCCGGCCAGCGCCAGACCAGGCAGUUAAGAUCUUCCAAGGCAGCCUUGCUCAUUGUCUAUUCUACGGGCAGAGGAAGCCUCUAAUGGCUGUGGAUCACGUGCUUUGCUGAGUAGGGACAGUUCCCCAUCUGAUGAAAGAAUGAGGUGGCCCAUGGAGGGUACAAGCGACCGCCCAAUGCCAGUGCCAGAGAACUCAGUGAGGAACGCCUCACCAGGGUGCCAUACACCCUCCCGAUUUCACAAGCGAAGACUCCAUGAAGCGAGGACUCCAUCUUCAAUCUGAGACUCAGACAAAGGGCUGAACACAGUCAUCUCUGACAGGGUUCUGAACACAACUGGAAAGUAAAUGCCAGGACUAUCAUCCACCUGCCAGCCUCAGCCACUCCUCAGGACACACAAGAAACCUUGACGCUCAAAAAGCCAACAGAUAGUGAGCAGAAUUGGAAGUCCAAGGCAAAGAGCAAAGCCAGCCAAGAGAAAUGACCCACCAGCUUUGCUGCUGGCUUGGGUCUGGAGGAUUAAAGACCACUUUAUAUCACCACCGUGAUGAUGGCAGCCUCCUGUUUCCCACGGGGGCAGCAACAAGGAAGCCAAAGGGCACACCUCCCACGCAGAGGAGAAACUAGACAGUUAGAUGGCAGACAGUCAAGCUCUUUUCCUUUUACAUAUUUUACUGUUUUUACGAACAUGAACACUUGAGAAUCCACAAUCCAUUUUCAACCUGAUCUUCAGUCUAGGGCUUUUAGAGACUCCAAGACUCGAAUCUAGUAUAGCCAGGGGAAGAAGAAAUGACUUCAGAAAGGUAGACUGCUAGGCAUCGUGAGAAACUGUCCUUUGCUGAGUGUUCUCACUGUCAAUGGCUUCUUUGUAUCUGAAGGUUUCUAAACCUCCUGGAUGGUCGAAUAUGCUGUAGAAUGCAGUAUUUAAAGUACAACAGUACUAGUACCCCUUGAAUAACUCUACAGCAGAUCUCAUUUGUAGUAUUUACCUGCAUACAUCUGAAGGAUUUCUAAUUCAGUUGAAUUAAAGCUUGUUAUUCUUUC